rnacentral:rRNA from 1 species
GGACAUGUGGUUUAAUUCGAACUACGCGAGGGAACCUUACCCGGGCUUGAACGUAAGACGAAUAUGCAGGAGACUGCAUAGCCUACGGGCGUCUUGCGAGGUGCUGCAUGGUUGUCGUCAGCUCGUGCCGUGAGGUGUUAGGUUAAGUCCUGCAACGAGCGCAACCCUUACACUUCAGUUACCAGCACGCAAAGGUGGGGACUCUGGAGGAACUGCCUACGCCAAGUUGUAGAGGAAGGUGGGGAUGACGCCAAAUCAGUUACGGCCCUUAUGUCCGGGGCUACACACUGUGCUACAAUGGNGCGCACAGAAGGCAGGGACCCUGCAAGGGGGANCUAAAUUCUGAAAGCGCGUCUUCAGUUUCGGAUCGGAGUCUGCAACCCGACUCUGUGAAGUUGGAUUCCCUAGUAAUCCGCGCAUUAGNCAUGAC